rnacentral:rRNA from 1 species
AUAGCGUAUAUUAAAGUUGUUGCGGUUAAAAAGCUCGUAGUUGGAUCUCAGCCCAAGCUAGUGGGUCCACCGGUAGGUGGUUACUCGCUAGCUGGGCAUUUUACCGAGCCGUCUCUUGAUGCUCUUUACCGAGUGUCUUGAGCGAUCGGUACGUUUACUUUGAAAAAAUUAGAGUGCUCAAAGCAGGCGACCCGCCCGAAUAAUCUUGCAUGGAAUAAUGGAAUAGGACCUCGGUUCUAUUUUGUUGGUCUUCGGAUCCGAGGUAAUGAUUAAGAGGGACAGACGGGGGCAUUCGUAUUGCGGCGCUAGAGGUGAAAUUCUUGGACCGUCGCAAGACGAACUACAG